GGAUAAACUUAAUUAAUUUGCAAUUAAUAUAUUUUGAUAAAUAAUCAAAUUAUCUU
rnacentral:tRNA from 1 species